GACGAACGCUGGCGGCGUGCCUAAUACAUGCAAGUCGAGCGCAGGAAAUCGACGGAACCCUUCGGGGGGAAGUCGACGGAAUGAGCGGCGGACGGGUGAGUAACACGUAAAGAACCUGCCCUCAGGUCUGGGAUAACCACGAGAAAUCGGGGCUAAUACCGGAUGAGUCAUCGGACCGCAUGGUCCGAGGAUGAAAGGCGCUUCGGCGUCGCCUGGGGAUGGCUUUGCGGUGCAUUAGCUAGUUGGUGGGGUAAUGGCCCACCAAGGCGACGAAUCAUAGCCGACCUGAGAGGGUGAUCGGCCACACUGGGACUGAGACACGGCCCAGACUCCUACGGGAGGCAGCAGAAGGUAAUCUUCCACAAUGGACGAAAGUCUGAUGGAGCAACGCCGCGUGAACGAUGAAGGCCUUCGGGUCGUAAAGUUCUGUUGUAAGGGAAGAACAAGUGCCGCAGGCAAUGGCGGCACCUUGACGGUACCUUGCGAGAAAGCCACGGCUAACUACGUGCCAGCCGCCGCGGUAAGAC
rnacentral:rRNA from 1 species